AUGGCGGUAAUGUGCUACUUAUGAUAUUGUCAUGCACCGCAGGACAGGAAUUAUCACUUCCUGUCUUAUUUUGGAAUGCUGCACUUCCUGCUGGGAGCUUCCAGCUGUAUGCAAUUCCAAUUAGUUGGGCUCAUUGGCUCUGUUAUCCUCGACCGGGAACGUUGUUUCAACUUGUUGCUGUACUUUUCCACGACUAAGUGUUGUGUUUUGUUGUAUUUUCCUGUACAACUGUGAGUACUUGUACUUCAUUGUUAUUAGGAAGACUUUUAUUUGAACGCUGCUUCCUGUCUCUGCAUACUGGCGUCAAGGAUUUGGAAGGUGUAGUUGGAAGAAAUCAACAGCUCCAUCACGGCGGCGGCGCGGGAGGCAACACGCGGGACAUGAAGUGAUUGAGAAGUGAAACUACCAGCUGACAUCUCCGCUCCAAAGAAGAAAAUAAAAAACUCCUCCAGAGUGGCGCAAUGAAGCCGUGGGGACUCCCACUUUGUCGUACUCGACUCCCCGCCACUUUCACAUCCUUGGCAUCGCCAUUGUUGGGGUGUGCGGGGACAUCGUGGAGAUGUGGAAAGACAAUCCCGCCGUGGCUCCUCCUCGGCUGAUGGAUGUCAAGUGGUUCCAGGGAGAGGGAAACAAGAGGAAGAGGGUCCUAAAAUGAGUGCUAUGCCAAAUCUGAGGAUGUGAUCUAGAGCUUGGACUUGCUGGACCUUCUCUCAAGACUCCUGGGUUGACUUUGACUUUCUGCAGACUAAAAAUGCUGGAAUUUGAAAUGCUGUUUCCAAGUGAGCUCCGGGAACUUCACAGCCAG